ensembl:ncRNA T19D2.11 ncRNA
AAAAUUGAGUGUGUUUGAAGCGUGUCAAUUGAAAUGUAACAAACACAAAACGGCUUCCAAAUGGAAUGUAAAUGCAUCUC